CCCGGAAGUGCGCGUUUUAAGCGCCGGAGAUUGUUUGUAUUCCGGAAGUGGUUGCAGUACGGUACCCCACGUGUGGUUCCAGGAUGAAAUUCGCUUACCGGUUCUCGAAUUUGUUGGGUACGGUUUAUCGGUGUGGAAACUUAAAUUUCACACAUGAUGGAAAUUCUGUUAUCAGCCCCGUGGGAAAUAGAGUCACUGUGUUUGACCUUAAGAACAACAGAUCCAACACAUUGCCUCUGGCCACCAAAUACAACAUCAAGUGCGUGGGGCUGUCCCCAGAUGGUCGCCUCGCAAUCAUCGUUGAUGAAGGGGGUGCUGCUCUGCUGGUCAGCUUGGUGUGCAGGUCGGUGCUCCACCACUUCCACUUCAAGGGCUCCGUGCACAGCGUCUCCUUCUCUCCCGAUGGCAGAAAAUUCGUUGUCACAAAGGGCAACAUUGCGCAAAUGUACCACGCCCCCGGAAAGAAGCGAGAGUUCAAUGCGUUUGUUCUGGACAAAACCUAUUUCGGGCCCUAUGAUGAGACCACAUGCAUCGACUGGACAGAUGACUCCAAGUGCUUUGUGGUUGGAAGCAAAGACAUGUCCACCUGGGUGUUUGGAGCUGAGCGCUGGGACAACCUCAUCUACUAUGCACUGAGUGGACACAAGGAUGCCAUUGUGGCCUGCUUCUUCGAGUCCAACAGCCUAGAUCUAUACUCGCUCAGUCAAGAUGGAGCCCUGUGUGUGUGGCAGUGUGACACACCCCCUGAGGGCCUGCGGCUUAAGGCACCCAGGGGCUGGAAGGCAGACAUACUUCAGAGGGAGAAGGAAGAAGAGGAGGAGGAUGAGGAGGAGGGGGAUCGAGAAACCACCAUCCGAGGGAAGACCACACCAGCGGAGCAGGAGAGGGUCGGGAAAGUGAAAUACUCCCGACUGGCCAAGUACUUCUUGAACAAAGAAGGAGACUUUAACAACCUGACAUCCGCGGCGUAUCAUAAGAAGACCCAUCUCUUGGUCACGGGUUUUGCUUCUGGAAUCUUCCAUCUGCACGAGCUCCCAGAGUUCAACCUGAUCCACUCCCUGAGCAUCUCCGAUCAGAGGGUUGCUUCGGUUGCCAUCAACAGCUCUGGGGACUGGAUUGCCUUUGGCUGCUCAGGCAUGGGCCAGCUGCUUGUGUGGGAAUGGCAGAGUGAAUCCUAUGUGCUCAAGCAGCAGGGCCAUUUCAACAGCAUGGUGGCCCUGGCCUACUCCCCUGACGGGCAGUACAUUGUCACCGGUGGGGACGAUGGCAAGGUUAAGGUGUGGAACACCCUCAGUGGCUUCUGCUUUGUCACUCUCACGGAGCACUCCAGUGGGGUCACUGGAGUGACAUUCACCACCACGGGCCAUGUCAUCGUCACCUCCUCCUUGGAUGGCACUGUGAGAGCCUUCGAUCUUCACAGGUACCGGAAUUUCCGCACCUUCACGUCUCCACGCCCCACACAGUUCUCCUGUGUGGCUGUCGACUCGAGUGGGGAAAUCGUCUCUGCAGGGGCGCAGGACUCCUUUGAGAUCUUUGUGUGGUCCAUGCAGACAGGCAGGCUUCUUGAUGUUCUGUCUGGCCAUGAGGGACCCGUCAGUGGUCUUUGCUUUAACCCAAUGAAGUCUAUCCUGGCUAGUGCCUCUUGGGACAAGACAGUGCGUCUGUGGGACAUGUUCGACAGUUGGAGAACCAAAGAGACCUUGACUCUGACCUCUGACGCCCUAGCUGUGACUUUCCGGCCUGAUGGUGCAGAGCUGGCUGUGGCCACGCUGAAUUCACAGAUCACGUUUUGGGACCCUGAGAAUGCUGUACAGGUGGGCUCCAUCGAGGGCAGGCAUGACCUGAAGACCGGCAGGAAGGAGCUGGACAAGAUCACAGCCAAACAUUCAGCCAAGGGCAAGGCCUUCACUACCCUGUGUUACUCUGCGGACGGGCAGAGCAUCCUGGCGGGAGGCAUGUCCAAGUUCGUGUGCCUUUACCACGUCCGGGAGCAAAUCCUGGUGAAGAGGUUUGAGCUCUCCUGCAACCUGUCUCUGGAUGCCAUGGAGGAAUUCCUGAACCGGAGAAAGAUGACAGAGUUUGGCAACCUGGCACUCAUUGAUCAAGAUGCUGGGGAGGAGAAUGGGGUGGCAGUUCCACUGCCAGGAGUAAGGAAAGGUGAUAUGAGCUCCAGACACUUCAAACCUGAAAUCAGGGUGACUUCUCUGCGCUUCUCUCCCACGGGGCGCUGCUGGGCGGCCACCAGCACAGAGGGCCUCCUCAUCUUCUCCCUGGAUGCCCAGAUGCUCUUCGACCCAUUUGAGCUGGACACCAGUGUGACCCCUGGACGGAUCCGGGAGGCGCUCCGACAGAGGGAGUUUACCCGGGCCAUCCUCAUGGCCUUCCGCCUCAAUGAGAAAAAACUGGCCCAGGAGGCCCUGGAGGCUGUGCCACAGAAUGAAAUUGAGGUAGUCAGCACGUCCCUGCCUGAGCUGUACGUAGUGAAAGUACUGGAGUUCUUAGCUGCCUCCUUUGAAGAAUCUAGGCACCUGGAAUUCUACCUUAUAUGGACUCAGAAGUUACUUAUGUCACAUGGACAGCGGCUGAAGUCCAGGGCGGGACAGUUGCUGCCUGUGGUCCAGUUCCUUCAGAAGGGCCUCCAGCGGCAUCUGGAUGAUGUUUCCAAACUGUAUGUGCCUUGGGGUUGGUGGGCGGGUAGGGUAGGGGGCUCGUGCAGCUGAUUUUAUCCCUGUCGUGUCUGAUCUGGGGGCAGAGUACUCCAGUAUCAGAGAUGGUGAACUGAGUCCAUCUGCCAUGGGUGUGAGGGUCCCCUCUGGGUGUGGCUGAUGCUUAACCACUUACCAUGUACACUUGCCACUUGAGGCAUAGUGAGAGCCCUUCACCCUGGGCACCAACAUGUCACAAGUGUAGGGCCAGGCAGCCUGGCCUAGAUUCUUCUGUCACCUCUGAGGGCAGUGAGAGGUGACCACAGGACUUGGGGCCAGGGAGCCUGAAUUCCUGGGAUCUGGCCUGUGUAUUGCAGGGGUUUCCCUGGUGUGGCACUAAUAAGAGAAUAAAACUUGUAUUCUUGGGACAGUGCUAGCUAGAAUAACCUCAAGUGUAUCCUCCUCCCCCAGCCUGCUCCUUCAGGUAGUUUUUGGUGGCCUGUGACCCAUACAUCCCCAUAUCAUCUAUCUGUCACUGAGCAGUUGCUAUGCUAUGUGUUCCUGCCAGGCUUAUAAUAUGCUUGUCUGCUAGUCUCUCCAUACAGAGUCUCUGAGAGAGGCUGGCACUGGGGCACUGUGGUCCCAUAGCCCUCCCGAUUAUCUUUACAAUGCUUCUCCAAGUCACAAGCAGACCCUUCCUCUUCGUGCCCUUUCCUUCCUAGAGUCCUGCCUGGCUGCAGGAAGACUGGUGUUGGAGGUGGCUUUACUAAGCUGUGACUGGAACCGCUUCAACAUCCAGUACGUGCUGGCAGUUUCCAAGCAGCGGGGCAUGAAACGCACCCUGGAACCUGUGGACACAGAAGAGGACUCAGAUGCAUCUGAUGAGGACAGUCUGCACCUACUCAGAGCUGCAGGUGAAGAAGAGGAAGAGGAGAUGCUGAUAUAGAACCAUAUAUUUCACGGCCUGAUUGGCUGGAGAUGAAACCACUGUGCUCCUGGGCCCAGGAAGUGGGAGGUGCCAGAGACCCCGAGACCCUCCAGCCCGGACUCUUCCUGUGAGACUGCUCAUGCUGCCAUGAGACAGCAAGCCAACCUUUCAGGGCCGGGACCAGGAUACAGCGGGCACACUUAUGCUUUGGGCCCAGAAUGCUUGCGUUGUGGAUGGCCCUGCACAGACUUCCUAGGGAAGGUUUAGAAGUGUGGACUUGCAAACUUUCUGUCAGAGUUAUUUAUAUUUUUAAUACGAUGCUCUAAGGAUGAAUUUCGGGUUGGGAAGAGCUUUUUUGUAAAUGUGAGGACUUUGCUUCUCAACUUUGAGUUUCCGGUGUUUCUAAUGUGUCCUGGGUGAGACAUUGUCUUCAAGUAAGCAGGGAGAUCGGUGACUGCUCGGGCCUGUGGCCCUGAUAUCUGUAAGUAGUGAAGAAAUGGUGUGUGCUGGGCUGACCCCAGCGGGUGGCUGUGACAGCCCAAGGCUGGCCAGGGAAGCUUGGACUGAUCUUUGCCAGUAUGUACAGGUUAUGUGGGAGAAGGGACAUGCCUGAGUGGUGCUUUACCGAUACUUCCUGUUCAUGGGGUUGACCAGGCCCAGCAUGUCACUCGCCAGUGAAGAGACCCACAGGUGCCAACUCAUGCUGAUAACUAUUCACUGGCCUCUGUCCAGGCCACAGGAAUGGAUCUGUGUGGCACCUGGUGCACUGAGAGCCAUUAGCUGUCGCACCCUUGUCAUACUCAGGAUACACUGAUACUAUACUGUCUUGGUCACCUGGAACCCGCUCAGGCUUGAACACCGUUAUGGGGAGAAGCCAGAGCUUAGCCUGGUGUCGCCAGGUUUCCUGUUCUGCAGAGCAUUUCUCUGUGUAGCUUGGGGUAGAAAAGGAAACUGCUUCUUAUGUGCCCAGGGACAGCCAGGCCCCUGGCCGCCCAGACAAGGACCCGCUUGUUUUGGUGCCAUCUUGGGAUCCCCAUCUGCAGUACAAAUACAGUUUUAUGAAGCUUUA